rnacentral:rRNA from 1 species
GUCCACGCUGUAAACGAUGAGCACUAGGUGUCGUGGGUAUUGACCCCCGCGGUGCCGACGCUAACGCAUUAAGUGCUCCGCCUGGGGACUACGGCCGCAAGGUUAAAACUCAAAGGAAUUGACGGGGGCCCCGCACAAGCGGUGGAGCAUGUGGUUCAAUUCGACGCAACGCGAAGAACCUUACCUGGGCUAGACAACGGAGGACCGCUCCAGAGAUGGGGCUUUCCCUUCGGGGACCUCCGGUUCAGGUGCUGCAUGGCUGUCGU